UUCGCAAUGCCCGAAAGGGUGACGAUGCGACGCCGCGUGAGCGAAGAAGGCCCUAGGGUUGUAAAGCUCUGUCGAGGGUUAUGAAAUAUAGAUGGGUUAAUACCCCAUUUAUUUGACAAAAGCCCAAAAGGAAGCCACGGCUAACUCUGUGCCAGCAGCCGCGGUAAUACAGAGGUGGCGAGCGUUGUUCGGUAUUAUUGGGCGUAAAGAGCACGUAGGUGGUUUUGUAAGUCAGGUGUGAAAGCCUUCUGUUCAAAGGAAGAACGGCAUCUGAAACUGCAGAUCUUGAGUGUAGGAGGGGAGAGUGGAACUUCUGGUGGAGCGGUGAAAUGCGUAGAUAUCAGAAGGAACGUCGGCGGCGAAAGCGACUCUCUGGCCUAUUACUGACACUGAGGUGCGAAAGUUAGGGGAGCAAACGGGAUUAGAUACCCCGGUAGUCCUAACGGUAAACGAUGGGCACUAAGUAGAGGGGUUUU
rnacentral:rRNA from 1 species